AAGAGAAACUUUUAGCAUUUUUCCUUGACUAUUUUCCACCCUCUCUGGAUUAAGGUUCCCUUCUUGGCUUUCUGGCACCUGUGAGUGAAUUUAAUCUUACCCAAACUACCUGAAAGCGUUCUAUGAAUUCUAGUGCAUCUCUACCCUGUUUUUUCCUUACUACACUGAGAUUUCUUUCCUCUCUCAGUUCUAACCCUCAUCUGACCCAUCACCCUUUGAAGUUUUGACAUUUCAGCCUUCUUGGCAUCACCCUCCAUCAGCUUCUUGUCUGGAGAACAACUGAGAUCCACAGAUUCCUUCCACACACAGAAACUCCUCUGUUAAUUGCCAGUGAGAACUGCUGCUGCUGCAAUCUUAUCAAAUCUGAGCACUGCAAUUUUUCAUUACGCUUAUGCCAUGAUAGCAGGGCCACAUGCCUUUGGACCAGAAAUUCUGAUUUUCCCUCAUGCUCUGGCUUUCAUUAGUUAACAACACUGAAAAUCCCAUGGAUUCUCUUGUACCUUCUCUUGGUGGGGCCUGGUCUGCUCAUUGAUUCAUUUCUGGAGUAAACAACAAGAGUAAAAAAAGGGUGGCUUCUCUCUCUGUGCCCUGAGCUGAACCAUUUCCAGUCCCCUGGAAUGAUUGAGCAGGUCCUGGAUGUUCCAACCACUGCUAAACCACCCUUGAGGGGUGUCAGUAUUCUGGGACUGCUCCAAGUGGAGUUGCAGGAGCCACUUCCAGCGUUUCACACUGAAUCCCUGCAUUAUUCAGGUUGGAAAAGCCCUCUGAGACCAAGCUGUGCCUGAUCCCCACCAGAGAACUGAGUACCACAUCCACUCAUUCCCUGGACACCUCUAGGAGGCCAGCCCCUUCCAAUGCCUGACCAUCCUUUCCAUCAAGAAAUUCCUUCUGAAUUUUCACUGCCUUUUUUUUGAAUUUUCCUUUUUGAACUUCCUGAGUUUUUCCUUGAUCCCAGGUGGGGUGAAGGCUACAGCCCCUCACAGGGCAGAAGCUGGAUCAAAAGGGAGACUUUAGAACUCUGAACAUCCCAACGUCUCCCAAUGCUCCCCACCAGGGUUUUGCUGUUCUCCCUGCCCCGGGUGCUCUGGAGCUUCCCAGCCUGGCUGAGCAGCAAAUGCUCCAGGUUUAUCACCCCAUCAGAGCAGUUGGAAGACAGUUGAGUGUCUCUGGGGUGCUGAUAGCAGGGAAGGCUUUGCUCUGGAAGAUAAGCGUCCCUCCCUGAGCAGCCAGGGGAGGCCGUUGGUAUCUCAGUGUCUUCCAGCCCCUCCAGACACACCCUGGGGGUGCUGGGGAUGGCGAGGAGUUAACCGAACCCCUCGCUAUCAUCCGCGCUCUGCUCCCUGGAAUCGUUUCUCCCACGCCGAUCAAGCCUCUGCAGUGACCUCAUUGCCUCACCCAGCUGUAAACAGGCAGGCAAAGCCUCGUUGUUUUAGAGAUGGAUUAAAUCAGGGGAGAAAAGCACUUCGGGAAGGUGUUUGAAAUGCACAACAGCUCUGUUUUCUGCUUGAGCGGCUGCCCAGGAGAGAAUAGCAUCACAAGCAUCCCCUGUCAGGUUUGGGGGAAGCAGGAGUGUCUGGAGUGUAGCUAUUCCCUGCCAGCUCCAGCCAGAGCUCCCUGUGUCACCCCACAGCAGCAAUCCAGGCUCUGGUGGUCA
rnacentral:lncRNA from 1 species